UGUGGGAAGCGUGUCUCUUCCCGCCUCUCUCCAGCCUGUCGGGGCCGAGCCAGGCGCGCGCCGGGGGCGGCCGUUGGCCGUGCUGUGCGUUCCCGCGCCCGCUGAGGGGAGGCUGGCGCGCUCUGCCCCUUACCGGCCGUCACGUGCUUUAAUCCCGGCUUGUAUGGAUAAAGCUGUGCCUACUAAACAAUGGCAUCUUAUAUUAAAAACUGCAUGGCAAAUGUGCAGCUGCUCAAUGACAGCAACCGCUAAUAAGAACAGUCUUCUCAAUGAAGAUAUACGCUGGCUGCUUCUAGCAAGAUCUGCACAUUCUCCAGGAAAGUGUUGAUCUUUUCCAUGGAGUCCCCACUACUGUUGAAAAUAUCACUGAAUGGGCACCUGGACAUUGCUGCUGCUGGCAUUUCUUGCUGCUGACCUAAAGAAGGAUCCAAAACAUCACCCUCGCAUUUCAGUUCUUUCCUUGGCCGGCCACGUUUCCCCAUUGCUUUUGGAAAUUCAAACUUUAAAAUUUAAAGCUCUUUCCCCGACUUCUCUUGUUCCACUGUCCUUGUUGCAGUGUGUGUGUGUGUGUGUGAGUGUGUGUGAGAGAGAGAGAGAGAUUGAAUGAAUCAAGGGACCUCCUGACUUUGAGACUCUGCUGUGGUCCUAGUGCUAGUUGAAUUCUAAACAAUAAAGGGGAAUGGAAAGA